GACUAAAUGAUAAAUCCUCCUUUAUCGAUUAAAUAUUGUCCUAAGAACUUCGUCACAAUACAGGAGUUCAAAUAAGAUGGACAAAAUAUGAUGAAAAAGUCAAAUAAUUUUUAUUAAUAAAAAUUCAUAUAUAUUUUAUAAAUAUGAGUACAAUCAUCAACAGGCUGAUGAUUGAUUUUGAGACAUAAUUUUCAACAUAUUUUAAUCCAUAUAAUGCCUUAUUUAGUUUAA
rnacentral:lncRNA from 1 species